GCAGUAGCCGCGGUAAUACGAAGGGUGCAAGCGUUACUCGGAAUUACUGGGCGUAAAGCGUGCGUAGGUGGUGGUUUAAGUCCGUUGUGAAAGCCCUGGGCUCAACCUGGGAAUUGCAGUGGAUACUGGGUCACUAGAGUGUGGUAGAGGAUAGUGGAAUUUCCGGUGUAGCAGUGAAAUGCGUAGAGAUCGGAAGGAACAUCUGUGGCGAAGGCGACUAUCUGGGCCAACACUGACACUGAGGCACGAAAGCGUGGGGAGCAAACAGGAUUAGAUACCCUGUAGUCCCUGUCUCUUAUACA
rnacentral:rRNA from 1 species